ACUAUCCUUAAUAGAGAAAAUUUUCUCUUCAAAAGAAAUCAGAAAGCUUAACUAAAAUGGAAAUUUACUUCAAUAGCUUUUCUCAGCUAGGUAACCAAGAUUUUUAAAAAUUAAUUUAUUUUUAUUUUAUGUACAUUGGUGUUCUACUUGUAUGUAUGUCUCUAUGAGGAUGUCAGAUCUCCUGGAACUAUAAUUACAGACUGUUGUGAGCUGCCAUGUGAGUGCUGGGAACUGAACCCAGGUCCUUUGGAAGACCAGCCAGUGCUCUUAACCACUGAGGCAUCUCUCCAGCCCACAACCAUGUGUUUUGAUUGCAAUGAAUUCGGAUGACAUGAACUUGCUGUUCGUAAUGGAUCGAAAACCAUCAAGUUCAUAUUUUAACCCACAAUGCCUGCAGAGGAAAUGGAAGGUUAUUUGCAGCUAUCUAUCUUUCUACCCUUAAAACUAGUAGACAGGGAACUGAGGCAGAACUAUUUUAUUUAAGUAUGUUUUCCUCUUUUUUUUUUUUAAUUUUGAAAAGUUAAUAAAUACAAGGAUGUGAAGAAGAUUGGCAAGUCUGGGUGACUUUGGGGAAGUGAGAAGAGAAAACAACGGAAACACCAGCUCUCAAAACUGAAUAGUUAACCCUGGAUUUUAACAGCGGUUACAGUGGUGCCGGCGCUGUGGAAAUGAAGGCAUUUAUUCACUGGCCAUUUGUCUUUGUUGUCCAAGUUACAUUGUGCUGCCCUUGAGGAGCAUGGGUUGUGCUAUUUUUCAUUGCAGUCCUGACAUGCUGGGAAAAAAAAAGCUGCUAUAUCGACUGUCCUUGAUUGAUGCUACACCUAACAAUAGCCCUUCUCCGUGAAACACUCCAUUGAUACUUUUAGAACUCAUUACUGCUAACCAAACAGUAGUGGUUUUAUUACUGUACUAAUGGAGCCUGGUACUUGGAGGCUGGAGCCCACGUGGGGGAAGGGAGCAGGAGGGGCAAGGGGUGUGGGCAGGACAAGUAAGUCCCUUUCCUCAAUUAGUGAUGUUCUCCAGAAGAGUGCUUAGGCUGAUUCCAGUAAGACAAUGUAAUCUAGAUACACUGCCAGGCCCAAUGUGCACAUGCCAGGAUGCACUAAAUGAAUUAUUUCUAGCAGGGAAGAACAAGGGCUUUCUGAAUAAAGAACCAGCAAGACAGCAGGAUUUUCUAUGGUCUAUUCCAAUAAAGUCAUUUGCUCUCCUAACAGUGCAUGGAGCCUAACAAAUGAGUUGUGAAAGUUAUGGAUUCUGAUGGACUCAGAAUUAGGGUUAGCUUGGCAGACACCCAUUGCAGUCAGCAAGGCAGACAGCUUCUGUCCUCUUUUCAUGGUUUUGUAAUGUAAUUGGGCUCCUGUCUUCCUUUGCCCCUUUGUACUUCACUAUUUUCUUUAGUCAAAUGGUCAUCACCUUUAAUGUGGUUACUGAUGUUUUCUGCCAUUUGGCAUUUUGUCUCACUAGAGAGCAUAAGGACUAUGCUUUUCUAAACCAGAUGCAGGACUUAGAAUAAGAGCUGGUUAUUUAUUUAUUUAUUUAUUUAUUCACCUAUUUAUUUAAUUUAAAUUUUUGGUGAAUUUGCGUCCUUCAGCCACCUCUUAUGGUUGCUACUGUUGAAUGAGGACUGUCCUUCCUCUCCUGGCUUGGGUAUUGUAGGCCAUCAUGAUUGCCGAUUGUUACUGGUAAUUCUGCAAACAAUUAGCUUUCAUUAGGUAGUAGCUGCCUUUUCUCUUAAGGACCUGUGAGAAUCAAGUAUGGAACCUUGAGAUCCUCUCAGACAUAAGCUUGUAUGUCUUAGGCGUAGAAAAUGUCAUAAAAACGUGAGUACAAAACAUGGGUUCAGCUGCACUGAGGGGUUAGUAGCCGUCAGUAGUGUGUAGGUCAUCCUGAAAUGCACUGAGGAAGCCCAUAGCAGAGGUGGCAGCUAUAGUCAGUUUUGUUACUGUGUGUAUGGAUGCAACCCCAGAGGUCCUCGUGUAAUUUGGACAUCCACUUACCGGUUAUGGAGGAAUGUCAAUCAUGUAGGUUUUUUCUUAUAGACGCAGCUUCAGUUUGCACUUGGUUCUGGCACACUCUAAGUAUAGGUAGGUAGGUAGGUAUGGGGUUUAGGCUUAUUUUUGCAGUGAGCAUGAUAACAGUGAGCUUACUCCACGAGCUCGUGGGAUCAAAGUCUUAAGCAUGGUUUGAAAAGUGAAUCACUUUUACAGGUGUGAUUUGAAUGUUCUGUUUUCCCUUCCUGGAUGUUUCUAUGUGGAUCACUUAGAAGACAGAUUUGCUUGUUUAUUUUUCAGGUAGAUGAUGCCAACAUUGAGUUUAAGAAAGCUCACCUUUUACCCCCUUUUAAAGAUAGGGUCUUACUGUGCGAUCCAAGCUAUCUCUGAACCUGAACUUCUGCCUCAGUCUCUCAUAAAUGUGCACUACUGCUUAUGGCCCAUUUUCCACCUUUCUUAACUCUAUUCUUGUUAUAAUGUGAAGGGUAUCAAGGUUGCUUCAAAUGAACCAAUUUUGAGUUCCAUGUGAUACUAUGGAAGCCAGAUGGGAAGAUAAUGCCACUGAUGAAUACUGAAGACUUCCAGAGAAAAUUUUUUUUCAAGAUAUAUUAGUAAGAAAUGGCUUCUUACUAAUGCCUAUUUGUGAUGAGUGGACUCUCCAGAGAAAUAUUUGUCACAGCAUUUUAUGCUAAAGUGAGUGUGUUUUCCAGGCUUGACAAGGGCAGCAGUAUCCAGCCAAGUGUAAGAGCAGAAUUCAGAUGCCCUCUUCUUGCUGCCAGCUCUUAGGAACUUUUGAACAGGAAGUGGCUGGUCAGGGUUAGUCUGGCCAGGAAUUAGGGAAAUCCCCAUUCAUUGGAACAUCUCCAGACAUGAAUGGAAGAGAGCUUUUCAGGAUUGCAACACCGUUUACUGAGAGACUGGUGAGUGGAGGGAAAGUUUUAUAGACAUCCUGCUCAGUCUCUAGAGAUACAUUGAAAUAGUUUCCCCAGUAGCCAUAGAAGAAAGCAGAAACCUUACGUUCCAGGACUCCUGUCAGAGCAGGAGGUGAUGCCUGAGAAUGGAAGGUCCCCUCCCAGGCUAGAGCAAGGAAGUACGAAGUGUUUAUCACAUUCCCAGAAUUGGCUUGAGAAGGGUGUUCACUUACUUAAAAGCAAGACUGGUAGAUGGUGACAGUAACAAGUGAUGAGUUUUAGUCUCCAGCUUUCAUGGGGAAUGACUCUGUUUGCUAACGUCUGUAAGAAACCAUGCCAGACCUCAGCCCUCACUAGAGAGAGCUGGCAUGCUUAAAGUCUUGGCUUGUGUAAUAGUUGAAGGACCAAGGCUAGAAUCAAAUCCAGUGGUCAUAGACUUCGUUCUAUUGCUCAGCUGCAUCCUCUACAAAUACAUCACAGUUGGAAGUUCCUGAAUCCACAGUCAUUCAUGCCGACCUGAAGCCAAGCUAGUGCUGGGAUAGCUCUAGGGUCUAGAAGAAGCUUUCAAUAAGAUUAGAUUUUAGCAGCUAUAUUUAACCUUUAAUUAUACCUUAUGGAGGUAAGUUUUAAUUUCCCAAGUGAUACAGCCAAGGCAUGAAAUGUGGAUCAAGUAAGCAAAGAGAAUGAAAAGUACACAACAUAAUAGCUCCUUGACUCUACCAGUGUGUCUCAGGUAAUAAAUUUGAGCAGGCUGUGGUUUCUCACUUGAGUGAAGUGUUCACUGGUCCAGAUUAGCCUCAUUUCUCUAAACAGACAGUGUUGCCACCAAGAGGGGCAGAAACAAGAUUACACUUGGAUUUAAGAUCUUGUAGCCCAGCUUUAGUGACUCAGAUGUAGAUUGUCCUCUCUGCAUGACAGAGAAUUUUGCUGUUCUUGCUAUCCUACACUUACUAGGGAACACAAAGUUGGUUGAGCAAACAAUAAUGUCACAUGGAUCUGACUUUUUUGAUAUUGACCCUUUAUACAUAGGCAGUUAUAGUGGUACGAAAAGCCACCCUAUAGAUAAGUUCAACCUCUGUUUCCUCAGGGUGGACAUUCCUUGUGCUGUGAUUAGUGUCCGUCACGUGGCUGUGAUGUUUUUACUCGUGCAGCGAUGAUAGUCACCUCCUACACUGUGACAUUUAAACUAGGUUCCGUUAAAGCACUGGCCAUGAUUCCAGGUUCUUGAUGGGUCUGUAAAUAUUUCUUCCUGCUAAAUUUUGCACACUGGCCUUUCUGAUUCCUGCUCCUCACCCCUCUUCCUUUUCACUUGUGAUAUCUAUAUGGACACUAGUCUUUUACUCUCUUGCUCUGACUUAACUGGUUCAUGCACGAGUGCAUAUGUGCGUGUGUGUAUAUAUAAGUUAUCUUCAGACGUUUGUGGACAUUAAGGAUGCAGGCAUUCCUGUCUGUCUUUUAUAGGGUGUGGUGUCACAUUUCAGAUGCUGAGGAAAAUCAUGAACAAAUAACAGAGCUGAUGAGAGGAUGCUGAGGUUAGAGUGUUUAUUCACCUUUUACCUUUUGGGUGUCACUUUUCUUUUCCUUGUUGUAAAUUAGGAGAUGCUGAUGGAGCUGAAAGGAACCUGAGCCUUCAGAGUCCUUCUGCUCAUUUUAUCUUUGUAGGCCUUGAAACCCGAGUAGUUAAGUCAACUUUCCCAAGUCCUGAAAGGGUUAGCUGAAGUUUAGUUUUCUGGCUUAAAUUUCUGUGCCUUUUCCUUCUGAAGUCCCACCACAGGCUAUUAUUUAUGUGUGAAGCAGCAGGUGUAGGCCUUGCUAAGUCAGAAGUUGUGUGUAUUUAGUGCUGUGAUCCCAGAGACAGUGACCUGAGGCUACUGCCCUGCGGGAAGUCCGACGGUCGUCCUGUGCUGUGAGCUUCUGGGUAACACAAGGUUAGGCAGAAGGGCUCUUCUCUGAAUGCCCACAACAGAAAUAUGUGUGAAACUUCUGUACACAGCAGCUAUAGAAAUGUGUUAUUUACUGUAUAACAUUCUUUCUAAUAGUUGUUAGCACUGGGAUAAAAAUACUAUUAUAUGUACAGUUUUUUUUUUCUCUUUCCACCCCCGAUUGAAACUGGGGACUCUUUCUUCUAGAGAAACAUUCUGCAUCUACGCUGCUAUAACCCCAACCCUAUAUUCCGUUUUAUAAUACUUCAACAAAGUGCUGUUGAAGUAGACCCAAACCAUCUGCAGCUCAAGUCAUGUUUAUAAAUGGCAUUUUUCUGUGAUCUUCCUGUCUCAGGGUUUCUGUUGCUGUGAUAAGACAGCAUGACCAAGGCAAUUUAUAAAAGAAAGGGUUAAAUUGUGCCUUACAUUUCAGCUCUCCAACAUUUCAGCAGGUUAGAGUCCAAGAUGGCAGAGCAGAGGCUUGGUGGCAGGAACAGUUGAGCGCUCAUAACGCAACAGCAAGCAGGAGGCAAAAAACGAUUUUGGAAUGACCUUGAAUCUUUUAAACCUUCAAAGCUUCUCCUCAACGACACCUCCUUCAACAAGGCCGCACCUCCAAAUCUUUCAGACAGUUCCACCAACUGGGAACCAGGGAGCUUCGGAUCGCCUGGAACUGUAGCUAUGGGCAGUGGUGAGCCACCAUGCUGGUGCUGGGAAUUAAACCUGAGUCCUCUGCAAGAGCAGCACUUAACCACUGAGCCAUCUCUCCAGCCCCAUCUACAGAGGCUUUUGGUUGGUGGACAGCUGCUGCUAAGUGCAGGAAGAGUGCUUCUCUGGAUCAAAUGCUUCGGGAAUCCUCUGCUUUGUGUCGGAGGAAAACCUCUGUUUUCUUGGAACAUAGAAUUGAGGGGUCUCCACAGAGCUCAUUCUUGAGGGAUGAUUUGACUUCAGAAGUGCUUCAAGAUACAUGUUCUUGUGGUUUACAAAGGUGACUGUGAUAACAAAAUAAAACAGAGUGAAUCCUCA